rnacentral:rRNA from 1 species
AACAGUGGCUAAGACUGGAUAGGAAGAAAUAAGGCAUCUUUUUUCUUUUAAAAGACCUAGUGAUAGGUAUACUUUAGGAGGGGCUUGCGCCAUAUUAGUUAGUUGGUAGGGUAAUGGCCUACCAAGACGAUGAUGUGUAGCUGGACUGAGAGGUUGAACAGCCACAUUGGGACUGAGACACGGCCCAAACUCCUACGGGAGGCAGCAGUAGGGAAUUUUCGGCAAUGGAGGAAACUCUGACCGAGCAACGCCGCGUGAACGACGAAGUACUUUGGUAUGUAAAGUUCUUUUAUCAAGGAAGAAAAGCAAGUGGUGAACCAUUUGUUUGCCGGUACUUGAUGAAUAAGCCCCGGCUAAUUAUGUGCCAGCAGCCGCGGUAAGACAUAAGGGGCAAGUGUUAUCCGGAAUUAUUGGGCGUAAAGGGUGCGUAGGCGGUCUAGUAAGUCAGUGGUGUAAUGGCAACGCUCAACGUUGUCCGGCUAUUGAAACUGCUAAACUUGAGUUAGAUAGAGGCGAGUGGAAUUCCAUGUGUAGCGGUAAAAUGCGUAAAUAUAUGGAGGAACACCAGAGGCGUAGGCGGCUCGCUGGGUCUUAACUGACGCUGAGGCACGAAAGCGUGGGGAGCAAACAGGAUUAGAUACCCUGGUAGUCCACGCCGUAAACGAUGAGUACUAAGUGUCGGGUUAAACCGGUACUGAAGUUAACACAUUAAGUACUCCGCCUGAGUAGUACGUACGCAAGUAUGAAACUUAAAGGAAUUGACGGGACUCCGCACAAGCGGUGGAUCAUGUUGUUUAAUUCGAAGAUACCCGAAAAACCUUACCAGGUCUUGACAUGUUUUUGCGAAACGGUAGUAAUAUCGUGGAGGUUAUCAGAAACACAGGUGGUGCAUGGUUGUCGUCAGCUCGUGUCGUGAGAUGUUAGGUUAAGUCCUAAAACGAGCGAAACCCUUAUCGUUAGUUGCCAGCACGUUAUGGUGGGGACUUUAACGAGACUGCCAGUGAUAAAUUGGAGGAAGGUGAGGAUCACGUCAAAUCAGCAUGCCCCUUAUGACCUGGGCUACAAACGUGAUACAAUGGCUGUUACAAAGGGUAGCUGAAACGCAAGUUCUUGGCCAAUCCCCAAAAACAGUCUCAGUCCGGAUUGAAGUCUGCAACUCGACUUCAUGAAGUUGGAAUCGCUAGUAAUCGCGAAUCAGCAUGUCGCGGUGAAUACGUUCUCGGGGUUUGUACACACCGCCCGUCA